AGCUUGAAGGCACGCAAGACCCAGCGGGCAGGGGAUUUCCGGACAGCACGAACGCGCAUGUCCGGACAGGCCCCAGCCGGUCCAUCUUCGCCUUACUCGUCUGGACGCCAUUUAGGAUGGGUCCGGGGCCUGAACGGCUUCCUCCUCGCUCUCAGCCGUCCCGGCAGUGUCCGCUAGCACGGAGAACAGGAGAAGCCGUCCACAAGUUAAACUCCGGCCACGGGCCCGAAAGGACCGUCCGAAUUCCCUACAACCCUGACGCCCAAGGCCACACUUCCCGUCGGCCCUGGCGCUCCCGCCCCGGGACGGCCGCGCUCCAACAGCCGGAGCCUCCGGCUGCCUGCCGUUGCUCCGGCUUCGGGGCCGGGCCUUCUGGAGGCGCGCUCCCGCCUCGCGAGGGUCAGUCGGCUUCCGGGCCAGCCCCGCCGGCCGCUCGGCGGGCUUCCGGCUCGCGCCGCUGGGGCUUUCCCCUUCGCGUUCAUCUCGCUCCGGUCCCCUAGUGGACUCCUCCGGGUCUAAGAGCAGAGACCGGGCCGCCAAGACAGCGUCCUCCCGGCCGCUGUUCGUCGCUCAGGGAAACUCUGGCCGCUUGAUGGCAGCAUCGCUCCACAGGCCCGCGCCGCUCCGCUCUUCCCCCGCCCUUUGUGCUUGCAAAAACCCAGCGCUCCGCCGACUUCCUCCUCCCCGGAGGCUGGCAGGGCUGUGGAGCGCGGCCUUGUGGCCCCCGCUGCUGCUUCUCUGGAAUCUCUCUGCCGAUCUGAAGGACAGAGGACAGACACUCAAAGAUAUUCCGAAUCGGAGUUGCUUUGAUUUCCAGCCUGCUUAGAAACUUCCUCGCGUGUGUCUUCUUGGUUGCUUGGUGGUUUCUAGCUAUGGUGCCAAGUCCCCUGUAGGGCUUAUUUUAGCUUUCUCUUUUUCUUGUUCCUUAAGUGAAUCUCAAGAGGCUGAGUGUGUAAAUGGGGAGAACUCAUAAGAUAGAAAAACACGAAGGUAAAUAUGACACCCCCCCCCCCCCCAGUACUCGGAAACCACCACUCCUCUUUGUGUGGCGCUUCCUACCUGUGCUACCUGGUAGCAUUUUUAUGCAGGAGUUUCCCGUGCAUGAAUGGGAAGCUGUUCACGAGCCGCCUCUGAAAGAAUUUCAUCUUCUGCUGCGUUAUCCAGCUCCUAGGGUCUAGACCACCUUGGGCCCUGAUAUUUGUGAAGUCUCCAAAGACAAACGCUUGAAGCUUUCUCCUCUUUCCUCGUGAUUUCCUUAGGGGAAAAUUCCUAAAAGUGUAAGCCAACUUUGUUUCUUCUCUCCUGUAUUUCAUCCUCCACUUGCCCAUCCUGGGUUAGCAGUGCAGGCUGUGGGAGAUAAUGCAGGUAGGGUGGGGACAGUCAGACUGGACGGUGUGGAGGAGGGAGCCUUGGAAGUUCCGUGGAUUCACCUGGGUAGGGAAAACCAGAGAGAGACGGCCUCAAGGAUGAUGACUGUUGUUUUCUAGAAAGGCCCCAGUAAAUAGGCUCACAGCUGCUUGUGCUGGCAGGCAAUAAGGAUGCACUAGGAUGGAAGGCAGCCCUGUCAGCAUUGGCCCAUCGCCAAUGUCACAGUGUCAGCGGUGGCUGGUGAUUGGAUUUCUUCUCAGAGGGGGAGCCCUAGAACAAGAGUCUAGCGUCGUCGGUGUCGGUGAGACAGGUACACCAGCGAUGCUACUGGUAGAAAGUGUAGCAGUAUACAUAGUAUCUGUGCAUAUGAUUGACAGAUAUGCUGUAUUCAAAUGUUGCCAGGCACGAGGGGUAAGCUGACUGAGAGAGCCGUCCUAUUUCUCCGUCACAAGCUGGGUUAAAAAAAUCUCUGGCUGUGGUCCUGUAGCACGCGGCUGAGGCACCCCAGAAACAGUAGAUUUGAUUAAAGGGGUGAGCCGAUUCCCAGUUUGACUAGGGCAGAGUGAGUGAAGGGGAGUGAGAACGGGGAUGGCGUAGGAGAGGAAGCCGGAGACUUCACCGGGAAGUCAAUCCAGUAGAGUUUGCACAGGCCAUAACUGGCCUUUUACUCUGACUGAGCUCACAAGCCAUGAGAGGCCUUGGAGCCGAGGAAUCACACAGCUUACCAAAUACAAAAGAAAAUCAGAGUUUUGAGGAAAACAUCGAGUGAGGAAAUCAAGGCCAAAUUAAAGUGAGGAAGUCUAAUCAGACGACGGAUUUGGGCGCAAGGCUCAUGCCACAGGGUUCUAUCCCUUCCCUGCCAGUUGGCCACAGGCGUGGAUCUAAGUUUUCCAGCUGCCAAAAUGGAAAGAGGGAAAGGUGAUCCCCGGCAGCAGUCACAGUAGCCCUGAGAUGGAACCUGACUAACUGCACAGAAGGAGCAACCAUGCUUUUCCCUGAGGUGAGCCUCUCCCAGGAGUUAUCCGAGGGAGGUUAGAGUGUGGCCAGGGAACUUCCUCUUCACCGUUGUCCUAACACCAGCUACGACGUAGAUCUUCCUGGAGAUGUUAUCUGCCACAUCCUCUGUGUGAGCACAGUUAAGCAAAAGAAAUUUCUUUCCUGACCCUCACCACCACCACCACCACCACCACAUGGUUUGUGAGGACUGUUCACGUAUUUAUGGGUGUCUCAGUGUGUUUUCUUUGUGGGUCUGUCUUGCUGUGUGGUGUGCUAUUUACUGUCUGUUCUUGUCCCUUAGGCUUAACACCCUCUGUGUGUUAUAGGUGUUGGAAACGUUUUACUUUGUCUAGGGAUUUCUUCGAUGACGGUACAACCCUAAGGGGAAAUUGAGAGAAAUAUAAUUGUGUGGGGGACAUGGACGUCUCCCUCUCAUUCUUCAACGAAUCCAAAGAAAAACCAGAGAAAAGAUGGAGGAUGUUGGUAACAGAUCUUUAUUCAUUCAACAAACAUUCAGUGAGCACCUACUACGUGCCAGUCACCUUUGGGAUAAAUUAGGGAACAACCGAGCACACAUACUAGACAACAACAAAAACCCUGGCUUUGAGGAGCUUGCCUUCUAGUGGGCAGAGACAAGCAAACAAUUAUAAUAAGGAAAUAAAUUACAUAACGUGUUGACAGAACAACGUGCAUUCAAGACAGAACAGAAGAAGACCGGGUAAAUGGGAAGUGUGUGUGUGUGUGUGUGUGUGUGUGGGGUGAGGUGGUGACACUUGAAAUAAUAAGUGUAGGAGCGAGCCAUAUUGAAAGGUGACAUUUAUUCGAAGUCAUGAAAGAGAUGACGGAGGUAGCCAUGCAGACAUCUGGGGAAAGAAUGCUCCAGGCUGAAAGAACAGAAGGUGCCAAAGCCCUCACUUUGGGAGCAGGAAGGAGGUCACCGUAGGCAAAGGGGAGUGAGAAAGGAGGAGGGUCCUAGGAGAUCAGGGAAGAGAGGGAACUAGUGGCCACGUCACAGAUGGCCUUGUCGGCGAUCACAAGGACUCCUAGUUUACCCUGAAGAGCAACGAACGCUGUUGGUUUGGAGCAGAGGCAUCACGUGAUCCGAUUGUAGGUUUCGGUGGCAUUAUUCUGGCUGCCGGAUUGAUUAUCAGCGGGCCGGUUUGGUGCGGCUGCUGGGGAGAGUGAAGCAGGGAACCAAGUCAGGAAACAAUUCCAAUCAUGUAGGGCAAAGACUGAUGGUGGCUUGGAACAGGAUGGGAGCAGUGGAGGUGGUGGGAAGUGGCCAGAUUCUGGACAUAUUUGGUCAAAAGAGCUCCCAGGACUGCCUGACAGGUUGAAAAUGAGAGGGGAGUCACAGAGCCGGGUGAAGGAUGCCCCUCCAGUCUGUGGCACAAACAGCUGGAAGGACAGAGUUGCCAUUCCCCUGCGGUGGGAAAUAGUGCCGGUGAAGGGGGUUUGUAGGGGCGCAUGGGGGAUUUCAGCCUUGGGCUUGUUCAUUCGGGCUGACUCUCAGGCAGUUUUCUCGGCGAAUGAGAAAGGGAGGUCAUCCGCUAAGAGUGAGGAUGGGAGAGGCAGUGUUGGAGGCUGCAAGAGAGAAAAUAAGUGUUGAAACGGAAGGGUGGGCAGCCGUGGGGGCAUGAGAGAAAUGAGUCGUUUGAGGAUUUGGACUAAGAAUCUGGUGGAAAGCUGUUUCCGUUUCAGUGGAGACCCUGGGUGUGCCAAGAUCUGACAAGGUUCAUUCUUGCCGAUCCAGUCCGAAAACGGUAGCUUUUGCUGGCCCUGCAGCCUGCGAAUCCAGGUGUGCUCUUGCUGGAGAGGGUGGCAUGGAUAGGUCUGAGGGAGGAUAUAAGUCAUCUGUGUUGACAGUUACUCACUUCUUCAGUCAUGCUGAAGAAGCACAGAUAGGCCUAAGGCCUGACAGGAUAGACCCCAAGUCACCUGGACUUCUGCCGUUUGCAAAACUGCGCUUUGAGUUUGGCUUAGAGAGCAAGAAGUGGCACAAUUAGGCAAUUUGACCCAAAUGUGAAAGUGAGACACACGUCGGAGAGGACAUUCGGAGGAUGAAAAAGGAAAGCAGGAAGCCCCAGCACCUUCUCCCCAAUGGGAGAGAAGUAAGGGCUGGCUUAGGAACAAGUUUCAAAGCCCUGCUGGCCCGCUCGGUCCCGACUGCUGUAUGGCUAUUUACAGCUGCUACGAGGUGCUUCAUUCAAGACCCCGAUGCCCGGAUCGAGGGACUAAGAGCCACGCUAUAUCUAGGAGAGGGGAGACGUCUCUGAGUAUUGCCGGUCUAAGCACGGCCCGGAGUGGGAACUUAAUCCUUUCCCUACACUGGGACUGCUUCUUCUUCUAAGCCCGACAAACACAGAAAUUCUCGUGUGUGUGUGUGUGUGUGUGUGUGUGUGUGUGUGUGUGUGUGUGUGUGUGUGUGUGUGUGUCUGUGUCUGUCUAUAUACAUCUACAUAUGCAUAUGGAUCUAAAUAGGUAGGGAUUUUCCUCGCACAUGGGGCCUCCCUCAACUCUUCUUGCCUCUGGGUUCCCUGAUAGCAAAUGAGAUGCAGAGGAGCGUGGAAGUACUGGCCGAAAGAAACUGAAACUUGGGCCUGUGAGCAAACGGCACACACAGCGUAUCCAACAAAGGCAAACUCAAGGGAGGCGAUAAGGCCUUUUGAGUCACUGGCUACCCGAUUUCCCAAGCAAUUCGAAGUGGUGGCUGCAAGGUAGCCUGGAAAAGUGCCUCCCCACGCCUCCUCCACCACCCAGCUAAACUGAAGCCAGGCAGCGGGGUCCACGGGUGCAGGGGCAGCCUUCCCCACUCAUUCCCCAAUGGGUAGGAGAUUCUGCGUAGGGUCACAUUCCUACUGUCCAGUCUGCCCUCUGCCUCUAUGUAGUACACCAGGCAAUGUCUUCCUUCAUUCCUCCACCAGAUGGGGAUACUCUGCCUCCCUGUUACCUGAAUUCCAUUUGCCAGGGAGGCUGGACAUCCCCCG
rnacentral:lncRNA from 1 species